rnacentral:rRNA from 1 species
UCACUGGUGUUCGGGUUGUCAUGCCAAUGGCACUGCCCGGUAGCUAAAUGCGGAAGAGAUAAGUGCUGAAAGCAUCUAAGCACGAAACUUGCCCCGAGAUGAGUUCUCCCUGAGACUACAAGUCUCCUGAAGGAACGUUGAAGACGACGACGUUGAUAGGCCGGGUGUGUAAGCGCAGCGAUGCGUUGAGCUAACCGGUACUAAUGAACCGUGAGGCUUAACCUU